GUGAGUCAUCGAAUCUUUGAACGCACAUUGCGCCUACUGGUAUUCCGGUAGGCAUGUCUGUUUGAGCGUCAGCAAAAUACUCUCAAUACGUAUUUAUUUAUGUUCUGGUUAUGGGUUGGGAGUUAUUGGCGUUAGCCAACUCUCACCUUAAACUUGCUGCAUGACCGCAAGCUGCCUUUGGCUAGGUUUAUGGAGUGGCGUUUGCAUAUCUUCCGUACUCCGUCAGGUCCAGCUUUCGCGGCGUUAAACCUUACGUUGCUUCCAUAGUAACUGAUGUUUGACCUCAAAUCAGAUAGGGAU
rnacentral:misc_RNA from 1 species